CUUGACGUCAGGCUGGCAGGGCCUGGAACGGCCCCGCAUCGCGGCCCCCUGGGGGCAGGACGACACCGCUGGGGGCCGAGGGCAGGGCACGCCUUCGGAAUCCGGCUUCGAAGCCGGCCGCCUGACCUGGGGCAAGUGCUUUCAACUCUCUGAACUUCGGUUCCUCAUCUGCCAGUUGGCAGACGCUCAGCAAAUCUUCCUAGACUCACGGGGCGAAUUGUACAGUUGGGUAAAUCGAGGCCCAGAGAUGGCAAAAGGACCGUCCAAGGUCGUACAGCCACCCGGAAUUACAAUUCUUUUCUGCCGGGUCACACGCUGUCAUCCACGUGUUACCUAAGAGAGCUUUCCAGCCUGUGCUAAGAAAACUGCCCCACAUCAUCUGCAGUAGGACGGGGGAGUUGGAGCCCUGGUCAGGCCACUCUGCUACUGACCACAGUUUUCUCAUCUCUAAAAAGGCGCAGUAACAAUAUAAUUACCGUAUGCAGUCCCCCAGGAUACAGGGUCAAAGGAGAGCACAACCAUCGCAGUUGGAAGCCCAUGGGGCAGCAGGGCCCAGGACACAGUGAGCAUACAAUAGACAUUAGCUGCUGUGGUGUCUUGAUUUCAAGCCCAGUGCAGAUGCAUCUGACUUACGAAACUUCAGUGACACCUGCUCUGUGCCAGACACUGAAGAUGGAGCAGUGAACAGCACUGACCCAGCCUGUCCUCCUGUUGCCUGCAGGCCAGGUAGGAAACAC
rnacentral:lncRNA from 10 species